rnacentral:lncRNA from 1 species
UAACGUCCGCGAUCGCGCCCGGAAGCGUCUUCUUAUCCAACGGCGCGCACGGGCCGACGCACCCGGCGGUCUUCACGUCCCUGGACGUGAUGACCUCGAACACCCCGCCCGCGGAGACGCCCAACGCGUCGUCUUUUCCCGUCGCGAACAUUCGAGAGAAGGACGUCUUGAAGACGACGUUGGCGAAGCUCUCCGCGAGCACCACCAUCCCUCCCGUCUUGUCCACGCACACCUUCAUCUCCUCUAAUCCGACUUGGUCUAAAGAGCACGCGAAAACGUCCAAGCAGUGACCGUUCGCGCACAACUGCGUCGCGAUCGUUUCGUAAUACUUGAACGCCUUGCGCAUAAAAGGCGCCGCGUCCUUGGCGAUGUCCUUGUGCGAACGCAUCGCCUGCUCGAGAUCUUUCCCCACCACCUGCCCGCCGCCGUCCGUCGCGGGGCCGCCGACGAAGAGCAUCGCGCGCGCGGGCUGCGACGGCACGGAACUCGACAGCAGCGUCGCGGCGACCGCGACCGCGGUCCCGGUGCACCGCGCCGGGCGGCAGUCCGGGAGCGCGUUGAACGGGUCGCGCGAGAGCUCUUCCAGCACGCUCGUGAGCUGAGGGUCGAGGGUCCAUACGAGCGAACGUCGGGGUGGAGUUCAAAGGCGUCAGAAGCGGAGUUGAAAGGCGACACGGGCGGGGAUUGAAAGCGAGGGGUGGGCGGAGAGAGACGCCGGGCAAAGUCCUUAAGGAACGGCGUUCACCACGCCGACGCGGUCGUAUGGGAACCAGUGUGAAAUAGAACGCGCCUGAAACUCGCAAUCCGCGAGCGGCGCCAAAAACCGGCUCUGGUGCCCGGCCGCGUGCGCGCCGUUCGCGCCGCCGCCGUGCAUCGCCGCCGGGUGCGGGUUAUUCGCCGUCAUCCCCGCGCCGACGCGGUUAUUCGCCCCGGACGCGCUCCUCGCGCCGGCGAACAGCUGGUCUUGGAUCUGCCCCGAGGAAAACUCUUUUCCGCCUCUGAGGGUCGUUCCAUACGAGCGAAUGACGGGGUGGAGUUCAAAGGCGUCAGGUGGAGUUGAAAGGCGCCGAGGGCGGGGAUUGAGGAUUGAUAGCGAGGGAUGAGCGGAGAGAUGCGCCGGGAAGAAAAGUCCUUAAGGAUCGGCGUUCACCACCCCCACGCGGUCGUAUGGGGACCAGUGUAUAGAACGCGCCUGAAGACGUAACUCUUCGCGCAGUCUCCGAACCCGAGCUCGUGGACGUGUACGUGCGUGCCGUACGUGAUCAACCCCACGAGCGCGUUCUCCGGAAGCAGCGACAGCGCCCUCGUGAGCGACUGCUUCAGCGCGCUCAGUUCCUCCUCGAUGAGGCACACGUCCACGACGAGGAGAUACGCGGGCGGCGGCGCCGCCGGUCGCUGCAACGCGUACUCGAUGGUCGUGUACGUGGGAAACAGCUCCGCGGGAAGGUUCGUCUCGCUUAUCGACGCGUAGUGCGGCGGGAAGUGGUUCCGCGCGUAACAGAACGGACAUAUCCACAGCUUGCCGUUGAAGUCCACGCGCGCGUACGGGUUCAGACACGCGGCGCAGCCUUUGCAUCGCACCGGGUCGUAGGGCACGACGGGCAUGUCCGGGAGGGGUUUUCGCGGGGUCACCACCGCGCCGAGGGGGACGACGCACUUCGCCGCCUCCGCCUUGCUGUUCGGCCAGACGUUCCUGGAGGGACGCGACGCGGUUGGGGGAAGAGGAGGGAAGGACGAGGGACGAUCGCGCGGGGGACGUCAGCGAGCGCGCGACGGGGGAGGAGGCGGUCGGUCGAUCGAUCGGUAAGAUCUGAGGCGCUGUCCGUUGGGGCGAGCGCGCGACGGGCGAGUGCGGGGGGGGCGACGCGUCGCGUCGCGCACCACGACAGCCGGACGCCGUCGACGGCCUCGAGCGCGCCCCAGUCCGGGGUCUGCAUCGCGCGCGUCUGGUCGUCUCCUCCUUCUCUUCUCGAUCCGUCGAGGCGCCGCGGCGACGCGCCGCGGCGACGCGCGGGCGCCUCGUGGAUGCCGCCGCGCGACCCGCGGCCUCCUACUUUCGUCGCCCGCCUCGCGCGCGCGAACCGAACGCGCGACGCUCUCCUCGCGACGCCUCCGUCGACGCGCUCGCGCGUGCUCGCGCUCGCGAAAGACGCGCGCGCGGCGGUUCGGUGCGAUCCCCGAACGGCGAACGCGACGUCGCGCGGUGCUCACUGCGCGCGUCGGCGAGGACUCGGUUUAGACGGAGACGACGGAUGUUUGAUGAUGAGCGCUCGGACCUCGGAGGGAGACUUGCUUGAUGAUGAGACGCGCCGUGCCCCGGCGAAACCGCAGUUGAUCGUGGAUCGAGCAAGGUCGGUUUCAAGUUAGUCGGGUAAAAAAAAAGUGAACCCGCGUCUUCCCGGUGAGAAAAUUUUCAUCGGUGCCGCCAGUUCAUCGCAUUCGUUAUCCUCCACGUCGCCCGCGCGUCGAGCGGCGCGCACACCCCGACGCGCGACCAUGGCCGCCACGAUCGUCUCCUCCGUUUCCCUGACCGCUCGCCCGAGGGCGGCGACGCGCGAGCUCCGCGCGCGCGCCGCGCCCGCGAAGGCGACGCGCGUCGUCGCGCUCCGCGCGUCCUCCGAGAAGGCGCGUCCACCGCGACGACGUCUUCAUCAUCUUCACAUCAUCAGCAUCACCUUUCGCGUCGCGUCGCGUUUCCGUCCCCGAGCGCCGGCCGCGCUUCGACGCCACGCUUCGACCCGACGUCUCCCGACUGACCUCGACUCCGCCCUACCCUAUAUCGAAUCCGAUCCGCGGCAGGUCGAAGCGACGACCUCCAGGCGCGAGGUCGCGGUCAAGGCGCUCGCGGCGCUCACCGCGGCGGCCGCGAUCCGCCCCGCCCCGGUGCGUCCGCGAUAACGCGACACGACGAUCGAUCGCGCGGUCGCGCGCGUCGAACCCUAACCCUAACCCUAAUAACCAACCCUAACGCAUCAAACAAACCCCGCGCCCCUCCGCCCCAACCCCCAGGCCCUCGCGCUCUUCGGCUUCGGCGCGGACAAGGAGACGGUGUACGCGGAGCAGACGACGGCGGUGAUCAACCAAGUCAAGCUCACCCUGGAGCUCCCGGGGGACUCCCCCGAGAAGGCGGCGGCGAUCGAAAAGACGCGGCAGCUGACGAACGCGUGGGUCGCGAAGUACCGCCGCGAUAAGGGCAUCACCGGCCGGCCGUCGUACGGGAACGUGUACAGCGCGCUCAACGCCGUGAGCGGUCACUACAACAACUUUGGGACGAAGUACCCGCUCCCCGCCAAGAGGAAAGAUCGCGUGAUGCAAGAGUUUGGCACCGCCGAGAUCGCGCUCUCUCGCGGACGCUAAGUAACGACGCGCCAGGGCGAGGCGUUAUUACAGUACGUAUUAAGGGCGAGCGAUGGUGAACGGAAGAAAAGAUCCGAGAUCUAUCCGGGGGAAGAGAAGAGAAUAAACGUGGAACGUGUAAUACACAAUAGGUGCGUUCGUCGUCGCGGCUCGCGCGCGCGUUCCCUCGAAAAAAUAAACCAAUUCUCGCGGAUCUUCGCGCCGCCGCCGCGGCUACAGGUUCGCGCGCGCGAGCAGCUCCUUAUCGAUCGUCGCGAACGUAUCGUGGUAAAACGCCCGAAACGCAGGCGUUUUCAGCGCCGCGUACGCCGCGUCCUCCAAGCUCCUGUGCUCCGUCUUGCGAUCCUUCACCUUGACCUCGUACUCUACCUCGUCGUCCUCCACGGUGUCCCGGCUCGCCUCCGGGACGCGCAUCGUCCCCUUCACGACGAUCGGCGCCGGCUCCUCCUCCUCCUCCUCCUCCUCCUCCUCCUCCUCCUCCUCCUCUUCAUCCUUCUUCUUCUCUUCCUCUUCCUCCGCGUCCAGCGGCGGCGGCUUCGGCUUCUUCGUCUUCUUCUUCUUCGCCGAGGGUACUCCCGGGAACGUCGCCUCCCAUUCGAACGUCGCGUCGAAGUCGAACCCGUGGCGGUUCUUCCCGCGGACGAGCACCACCGUGGCGUCGCCGUCGAACGUCUUCACUUUGGUGAUAACGCACUCUCCGCCGCCGUUACACUUCACCAUCUUCCCGAGCACGAGCUCUUCCACGCGCGCUCUCGCCCAGUCCGUGUGCCCGCGCUCCUCCCACGUCGUCCCGUCUCUGUUCCACGACGAGACGCCGCCGCCGACGCUUCCCUGAGGGCCGUUCCGUACGAGCGAACGAACGUCGGGGUGGAAUUGAAAGGCGUCAGAAACGGAGUUGAAAGGCGACGAGCUCGGGGAUUGAACGCGAGGGAUGGGCGGAGAGAUACGCCGGGAAGAAAAGUCCUCAAGGAACGGCGUGCACCGCGCCGACGCGGUCGUACGGGGACCGGUGUAAUAACAGAACGCGCCUGAGACUCGAGCUUCUUCGCUUCCUCCUCGGAGAGCUUCACGGGCUGCGCCCUCGGCGCGGUCCCCUGGUUCGCCUGCUCGUGCCAGUAGUGGUACCCCCCCGCGGCUUUGUCCUUCUCCUUCUCAUGCGCCGGCGGCGGCGUCGUCGUCGCGUCGGCGGCCGACGUCUUCUUUAUACCCAUCGACGCGGCGGCGGCGGCGGCGGCGGACGACGACGAAGAAACGAUCUUCUUUGUUUUUUUCUUCUUCUUCGAAGCCAACGUCGAAGACGCGGUCGGCGACGAUGACGGCUUCCCGGCGCGCGCGAGCGGACGCGCUCUGAUGAACGCGGAGAGCGCGGCGACGAACCCGGACGCGACCGUCCGGGCGGCGGACGAGAGCGCGUUCCCGAUGCCGGCGUGCGGGACCGCGCGGCGGCGAAGUGGCGCGGGGAGACGAAAGAUCCAGCCACGCGGCUCAUCAGACCUCGUCUGACUGAGAGAAAACGGACCGUCGCGUCGCGCGCGCGCGGGAAUCGACGAUUUCGUCGCGGCCGUCGAGAGGCUCUACUCUGCUCUACGCGUUCAAUGUCGUCAAUACAAUCGCGCGUCGCCGUCUACACCGCGCCUCGCUUCCUCCCCCGGGCGGGGCGUCGUUCGCCCUCCGUCGCGCGCGUCGCUCGUCGUCCGUCGCCUCGUCGCAUCAUCGAUCCUCACCGCGGGAUGAUGGGCUUUUUUUUCUUGCGCGGAUACGUGCAGUAGCAGUACGCGGCUAAGCAAGCCGUGACCAUCAUGAGCGGGCCGCCCGCCCACAUCAUGAUCAGGCUCUUCCAGCUUAUGAACCACGCCAUCGUCGCGAAGCGGCGCGCGGCGUGUUUCGGCGACGGGGGCGGCGCGCGCCGCGAGUUGUGCGCGACGGACGAGCGCGCCCUCGUUGAACUCCUCAAUGUACUCACUCGCGGCCCGGUCAUCAUUUUUCGCGCGCGAUCGAUCGGUCGCGUCGGCAGUGAUCGCCCGCGCGCCCCGCGCCGACGAGCGAGGUCGUCGCGAUGAACGGGCAGCAGGAGACGCUGGGCGCGAACGCGCCGCCGAAACCGAAGACGUCCAAGGCGCGUCUCGACGCCGCGAACGAUCGCGCGCGCGCGCGCCGGUCGAUCGUCGCCGUGCGUCGUAGUACGAAUUCCCCGCUCACCGCCCCCCGUCCUCCUCCUCCUCCUCCUUCUCCUCUCUCUCUCUCUCUCUCUCUCUCUCUCUGCAGGGCGGCAAAGGCAAGAAAGCCGCCGCCGCGUCCGCGACGCCCGCGGUGCAGCCCGUCGCGGUGAAGACGAAGAAGGGCACGGUCAAGCUCAACGCGGCCGCGCUGAAAGUGAAUAACGCGAAGGCCCCGAGCGCGGAGAUCCUCGAGGAGCUCGCCGCGCGAUUCGUCCUCAACUGCCCCGCCGAGGAGCUCAACUCGUUCGAGCGCAUCUUGUUUCUCGUCGAGCAAGCGCACUGGUACUACGAAGACUUCGUCAGGGAGGAGGAGGAGCACAAACACCGGCUGAAGUCGAUGUCGCUGAAGCAGUUCGCGGGGCUCAUGUUCAACAAGUGCGCGCCUCUGCGGCGGUACAAGGACAAAGUCGACGACAUCUACAAGGCGUUUACGAAUUACAAGCUCUCCGUCCCGGUCGGCGGCAUCAUCAUCCUGAACCCGGACAUGAGCAAAGUUCUGAUGGUGAAGACGUGGAAGGGCUCGUCGUGGGGGUUCCCGAAGGGGAAGAUCAACAAGGACGAGCCGGAGAGCGUCUGCGCGGCGCGAGAGGUGUUGGAAGAGGUUGGCGUCGACUUUUCCGCCUACGUCCGCGACGAAGACUCGAUCGUGAUGAACCGGGUCGUGGACCACGAGACCGGUCUGAAGCAGCGGAGCCGGCUGUUCAUCGUCGCCGGCGUCAGCGAAGAGACCGGGUUCGCGACGCAGACGAGGAAAGAGAUCGGCGCGAUCGCGUGGCACCCGAUAUCGACGCUCGCGGGCGGCGUAGUAGCGGGCGGGAAGUACUUCUUCGUGAAGCCGUACGUCCAGCCGUUGCUUAAGUGGAUCAAGGCGUCGAAGAAGAAGCGGAAGCGCGGCGGCGCGGGGGGUGGGGGGAAAGGCGCACCAGGGGGGGGGCUGGGCGCGCCCGCGUCGCCGGCGGGACAGACCGGCGGCGGCGCGGCGUUCGAGCCCGCGGCGCAGUACACGCCGAAGGGCGCAAAGGCGCCCGCCGCGCGGUUUCCGAGCUUCCUCGGCUUCGUCUUCGACCGCGUCAGGCGCGUUCUAUCUCACACUGGUCCCCAUACGACCCCGUCGGCGUGGUGAACGCCGUUCCUUAAGGACUUUACUUCCCGUCGUCUCUCUCCGCCCAGGGUCCCUCGCUUUCAAUCCCGACACACCUCGGCGCCUUUCAACUUCAACUGACGCCUUUCAACUCCACCCCGACGUUCGCUCGUAUGGAACGGCCCUCAGGGUGUCGCGAGCGCUCGAGGGGUGAGCGCGACGCGUCGAGUCAGGUAGACCGCGUUUGAACGCGUCGCUCGCCAGCCUUUCAACGCGUCGUAUCAUAUCGUAUCGUAUCGUAUCGUUCGUUCGCACGUCGUCGUCGUCGUCGUCGCGCGCGCCGCUGCCGUUCCCAGCUUUCGUUCUCGGUCACUCGCGCGCGACACGUCACGCUCACUCGAAAACUUCUAGAAGGAUUUUUUUCCCUUUACGCGCGGGGGGGGAUCGUCACACGCGACGCGCGCCUCCGCCUUCCUCGCGCGCGCGUCCCCCCCUUCGCGGCGCGCGGCGGGAGGGAGAGCGCGGGUUCGCGGCGCGUCAUGACCGACGGCGGCGACCGCGACGACGCGCGAGGGACGCCGCGCGACGGUCGCGGCGCGACGAUCCCCGAGGGCGACGAUUCCGCGGGGCGCUCGCCCGAGGGCGACGACGACAUGUCUUUACACGCGGAGGGCGCGACCGCCGCGGAUCAGCUCGCGCGCGCGGAGCUGAAGAAGCGGACGCUCGAAAUGUGGCUCGCGCUGAAGGACACGAGGGUGAAGCUCGAUCUCUACGGCGGGUGCGCAUUCGCGCGCGUUCUUCCCGUCCGUCCGCGCGACGCGUCGCGCGCCCUUCGUCCCCGCCCCCCCGCGAUUCUUUCUUCCGAACCACAGUGCACAGCUGAAAAAGCGACGCGUCACCGAACGAAUCGAUUUUUACUCAUCCCUCGUCGUCGUCCUCCUCCCACUCCUCGUCGCAGCGUGGAAGUAUCCGGGGUGUUCCAGGCCGUGGACGCCACGAGCGAGACGUUACUCGUGAGCGAGCUCGACAGCGGCGUCGGCGUCGUCCCGGUCGCGCGCGUGCGAUGGUCCGACGUCCUGUCGGUGACGACUUUGCCGCGACUGGAGCGCGAGAGCGAGAGCGCGCGAUGGGGUCGGGAACACUCGCGCGGGGGUUGACCGAGGCGCGCGAUCGGAUCGAUCGAUCGAUCGAUCGACCGACGUCGUCGCGCCUUCCCGUGUUGUACUGUGUGUGUGUUUGGGAGGCGCGAGCGCCGCGGUAGGGGAGGGGGCUGUGUUGUAGACGACCGGGUGAGUGAGAACCUGGUGUUGUUUGGUCGUAGACUUGAGCUUCAGUUGUAAACGCGAGAAAGCUUCGCGAUCGGUGUCGACGUUCGCUCCCCACUCGACGCGCGCGCGUCCCCGCGGGCGACGGUCCGUCCGUCGGGGAUGCCUCGCGACCGCGGCGGCGGCGGCCUCGCGCCGCGCCGCCGCCGCGCGACGGAGUUCGGAGCCCCCGCCGCCGGCGCCAAGGGCGACGGCGUCGUCGCGUCGCGAUCGCGCUACGAGAGCCUCGCGAUCUCGAGAGGACUCGCGCGACACGCCAACGACGACCCACACCGCGAGGAGGCCUUCACGCGCGCCGCGCUCGAGCUCGCGCACGUCCUCCGCGCGUGUUACGCGUCCUCGAGCAAGGACGCGAGGGAGGCGAUGACGCGAGACGCGAUCGCGGGCGCCUCGCGCGCGGCGCAUCUCGCGACGUCGAGACAGCUCGCGGCGUCGCACGCGCUGCGACGCGCGGCGGUCGCGACGCUGCCGAGCAAGCGACGCGAGGCGUUCGAGCGCGCGCACGCCGCGGCGGCGGUGACGCGCGCGCGGGACGCGAAGAAGCGUCGCGCGCGCGCGGCGGAGGCGGAGGCGGAGGCGGAGGCGGAGGAGGAGGAGCUCGACGACGACGCUCCGGACGACGCCGCGUCGCCGACGACGACGACGCGCGCGCGCGACCUCCCGGACGACGUCCUGCGCGCCGUGUUCGACCGUCUCAACCCGUGGGACCUCGGACGUUGCGCGGCGACGUGCGCGCGCUGGCGCGCGCUCGUCGCGGGCGCGGAGCGCGCGUGGAAGAGAGGAUGCGAAGACGCCGCGACGACGGCGGCGGCGGCGGAGCGAACGAGGAGCGCUCUCGGCGACGCCGCGUCGUGGCGCGACGCGUUCGUCGCGCUCGUCGCGACGUCGACGUCGACGUCGACAUCGCGCGCGGGGGCCCGCGAUGGAGGAAGAAGAACAGCGCCCGCGAUCGCUGAACCGUCCGGACGCGCGUGGUGCGAGCGGUGCGAGACGUAUCGAUGGACGUGGGACGACGGCGGCGACGGGGGCGUCGCGUGGCCGGCGGGGCACCGCGAUUCGCACCGCGUCCGGACGGGCGCGAUGGGCGCGGCGUUCGUCGUCGACCGGGUCCUCGGAGGGGGCGGGGAUGGCGACAGCGACAGCGACAGCGACAGCGACAGCGACAGCGACAGCGAUGGCGGCGGCGGCGGCGGCGGCGAGGCGACGGACGUCGCGCGGCGGAUGCGGUUGUGGAGGAUACGCGGGCAGUAGCGAGCGAGAGCGCGAGACGGGAACGAUUUAGGAUAGCCGACGAGUACGUACUGUAUUAACAAAAUAAUAAAACACGAGAGCGCGCCGUCGAAACACGACACGCCCCCUCGACUGGAUUUCUUCCUUUCGCGGCGGCGACGCGCGUCAGAAUCCGUCGAUGACGUCGUAGGCCUCCAUCACGACGAGCGCGAGAAACACGGCGUAUAAGAACACCAUGGACGCGCCCAAAAAUUUCGUCAUCCGCCACUUGCAAAAAGCGAUGAUCGAAAUGAUGCAGACGAUCAUGAUGAUGAGAAGCGUCAGCGCGAACCCCAGGGAUUCGCUGCUCACGGUCAUCGCUUUCGCGCUGUGCGCGGCGGACCACAGCAGCCACGGAAGCGGGAGACCGAACGUGAUGUCGAAGAUGUUUGAGCCGAUGGACGACGACACCGCCAUGUCUCCGAGGCCUUGACGCGCGACGAUCACAGAGGACAAAAGGUCCGGCACGGACGUCCCCGCGGCGAGGAUCGUGUACCCCAUGACGACGUCGUCGAUGCCGAGAACGUCGCCGACGACGGUCGCCCACCACACCAUGAAGUACGAGAAGAAGCCGAUGUAAAAGAUGCUCUCGAAAAACACGACCAUGAACAGAUGCGUCUUCUUCUUGCAGUUCGGGACCGUGUAAUAGAAGAGGUACAUUAGCGGCGCGGCGAUGACGUAGUAGAUCUGCGCGGCUUUGCCCUCCGGCCACGAGAGGUCGAUCCCCUCGUCGUCGUCGUCGGCGUCCGCCGCGACGGCGGCGGCGGGCUUCGCGAUGUUCUUCGAGAACUGCCGCGAGAUUUUCCGCUUCAUCUGCGGCGCCGCGGCAUCCGCCGACUCCGUCACCGGUCCGGGGGGAACGCGCGCGCGCGUCGUCUCCGCGGACUCGUUCACCGGGCCUUUGCCCUUCGGCAGCGGCGACACUUGGUUACCCUUCGGUUUGCCUCCGUCUCCGUGCUUCGCGUUCUCGUUGUGCCCCAAGUUCCUCGACACUUCCUUCACGAAAUCCGUCUGCUUCAGAACCUUCACCUUUACCCACGUCUCCACGCGCGCGUUGAACUUCAUGAAGAUCACGUACAUGACGUAAAAGAAAAGCAUCAGACCAGACUCCCACACGCGCGUCGUCUCCGCGGACUCGUUCACCGGGCCUUUGCCCUUCGGCAGCGGCGACACUUGGUUACCCUUCGGUUUGCCUCCGUCUCCGUGCUUCGCGUUCUCGUUGUGCCCCAAGUUCCUCGACACUUCCUUCACGAAAUCCGUCUGCUUCAGAACCUUCACCUUUACCCACGUCUCCACGCGCGCGUUGAACUUCAUGAAGAUCACGUACAUGACGUAAAAGAAAAGCAUCAGACCAGACUCCCACAUCGCGAUCUUCUCGUCCUGGAAGAACACGUACAGCAUGCAAAGGUCGAAGACGUAGAACGUGCAAUCUCUCGCGAGCGGCCACCACGUGAGCUCCAAGACUUCGUACGAGAAAAACGCGCACGCGCCGAUGACGAAGAGCACGUUGAACACGGCGCUUCCGAUGAUGGUGCCGAAACCGACGUUGCUCUUCGCGAUGAAGACGCCGAUGAGGGACGUGAAGAGCUCCGGGGCGGACCCGCCCGCGGCCAUGAACGUCGCGCCCGCGACGUCGUCUUCGAUCUCGUACCUGUCGCACAAGACCUCGAGCGCCGGGACGAAGAAAUCGUCGCAGAUUAUCGCGAUCGCGAUGAACGUGUACAGGACGCCGACGACGUGGAGCAUGAAGAAGCCGCUCUUGUUUUGGCUGUCGCUGAACAGGUCGGGGGGGUAGAGCUCGCCGAGGAGGCUCCUGCCCGCGCCGCCGCCGUCGCGCUCGUGCGGGUGGUCGAUACCGAGCGCGUCUCUCGCCGCGGACGCGAGCGCGGACGUGUGCGCGCUCACGAGUCCCAUCGUCGCGGCGGCGACGAGGAACACCGUCGCGCGCAUGAUGCGGACCUGCUUGCGCCCGGCCCUCGUGCGCCGCAUGCGCGCGAGGGAGCCUAACAUCGCGCCCGCGCGCGUGACUCGCGGCGUUGACGAGCCCGCGGGAGGGCGACCGUCGGGGGGGCGAUUCAACAACGACGCGCGUAACACGUGCGCGCCUCCUUGCCGUUGCGAGUCUCAACCCAAAUGCAGCGACGAUUGUUGAUUACGGGGAUCGCGCGUCCCGUCCCCGCGCGCGCCGUCUCUCCUCGCGACGACGGCGCCUCGCGCGGGCGACGUUCCGUUCGUACGACGCUUCGAGCGCGCGCGCGAAAUUAGCAGCGCGGAGUGGUUCGCGCGCGCGGCGAGCCGCGGUGUGACGCGGGCGCGUGAAACGUGACGCACGAUCGUAAUUUCCCACGCGGCGCGGUUCGGAUCAUCAUCAAUCAACUUUUAUCGGACAGGACACCCCGCGACCAUUCAGCGCCCAUUUUUGAAAGCACAACACGGCGAAUGUUUGAAAGCAAAACACGGUGAAUGUUUGAAAGCAAAACACGGUGAAUUCGAAAGCGCGGGGAUCUCCCGGCGAAAAAACGCGUGAACGUGGAUUGGAGCGCCGCUUUUUUGGGCACGUGGAAUGUAGGCAGAGAUGUAGGCAGCCUCAGAUCCCAGAACGCGGCGCCUCGAACGGACGACGUGAUGUCGUCGGCACCGGACGCGCCGAAGCGGAAGCUCGAAGACGUCGUCGACGAUCCGUCGGCGGGAGCGUCGGAGGGACGAGCCGCGGACGACGCGUCGACCGAGCGCGAGGUCCCCGCGUCGGAAGCGGAAAAUCCAGGUGAAAAGAUCUCGUCAGCAGCGGGCGCGUCUCCCGACGCUCCGCACGUCGUGCCGACGGAGGGCGCGCGCGCGUCCGUCUCCGUGGAGGAGCUCCUGGAGUCGCACCUGGAGUCCACGCGCGUGCACCGCCGCGGCGCGCUCGCGUGGGCGUUCUUCCCGUCCGCGCUGUUCCACCCCGCGCUGCCCGAGCCGAGCGGCGAUUCCGUCGUCGUCGCGGCAGAAAAGAACGGCGACGACGACGUCGCGGAGCUCAAGCCCGGAGUCUUCGGCGCGACCGCGACGAAAGAGGGCGCAAAGUACGUCACGUGCGUCGCGUGCCACCCGAACGGCAUCGCCGCGGAGGACGCCGCGAGGCUGUGGCGCGGGAAGCAGACGGGCGUGUUCAAGUACCACUGGAGAACGGGUCAACGGAGCAUCACCGAGCACGUGGCGAACAACCACGCGACGCUCGUGGCGGAGUUGGAGGACGCCAAGCGCGUUUACCUCGCGAAGAACGGCGGUUCCGAGAUGGGGGGGCUGGGGGGCGGAUCAGCGGCGAAGUUCGGAGUGGGCACGGGCGCGGCGCACCACGCGAACGGCGGCGGCGGUUUCAGCGGCGGGAGCAGCAGCGGCAGCGGCGGCGGCGGCGCGCGCGGUGCCGGCGGCGGCAGAGGAAAGAAUAAGAAGCACAAGAAAAACGUCCUAAACGUCGAGCGCGGCGCCGACGCGCUCGCCGCGCUGAGCAACGGCGGAACGAUCCUCGGCGGGUUGUUCCCUGCCGACCGCGCGACGUCUCGAGGCGGCGUCUCGAACGUCGCACUGGAGCUCCUCGACGGCGUUCUCGGCGGCCCGGCGGCGGCGACGACGACGGAUUCGAUCGCCGUCGGGUUGAGCGCGUUUCUCCAAAACUCAGGUGCGUUCUAUACAAAAGUUUUUCACCCAUCGCCCGGUUUCAACACUUGAUCGCGUCCCCUUUCAACUGACCGGUGAACUUUUUUUGUAUGGAAUGGCCCUCAGCCGCCGCAAACGCGCUGUCGUCGGGGCGCGACUCAUUCGGCGGCAUCGCGCUCGAGGCCGCCCCCCCCGUCGGCGGCGGCGUCGACCGCCCGCGGAUAAUCGACCUUCGAAGCGACACGGUGACGAAACCGACGCAGACGAUGCGCGCGGCGAUGGCGACGGCGAUUUGCGGCGACGACGUCUUCGGGGACGACCCGACGGUGAAAGAUUUAGAAAUCGUCGUCGCGGCGGCGUUCGGGAAAGAAGCCGCGCUGUUCGUGCCGUCGGGAACGAUGGGGAACCUGAUCGCCGUCGGCGUGCACUGCGAAGUCAGAGGAAGCGAGUUCAUCUGCGGCGAUCUGUCGCACGUGCACAUAUACGAGCAAGGCGGGUUAUCGACGCUGAUGGGCGCGCACCCGAGGGCGCUCAAGAACGAAGACGACGGCACGAUCGAUCUCCAGCGGAUACGAAACGCGUUCCGGUCGGACGACCAGCACUUCCCGCGCACGACCGUGCUGUGCAUCGAGCAGACGCACAACAAGAAGGGCGGGCGGGUGCUGCCGCUGUCGUACGUCGACGACUGCGGCGCGUUGUGUAAGAGCCUGGGGAUUCAGUUGCACGUCGACGGCGCGAGGAUAUGGAACGCGGCGAUCGCGCAAGGGGUAACCCCCGCGCGCGCGGUCCAAGCCGCGGACUCGGUGUCCGUGUGCCUGAGCAAAGGCCUGGGCGCGCCGGUCGGGAGCGUGAUCGUCGGGAGCGCGCCGUUCAUCGCGAAGUGCCGGCGGCUGCGAAAAGCGUGCGGCGGGGGCAUGCGGCAGGCGGGGACGCUCGCGGCGGCGGCGAUGAUGGCGCUGCGCGAGGUGUGGCCCGUCAUGAGCCUGGACCACGUCCGCAUGAAGCGGCUCGCGGCUGGGUUGCAGAAGAUCCCGGGCGUGGAGGUGUCCUCCCCGAUCGAGACGAACAUCUGCUUCGUGACGUUUCCCCCCACGGCGGACGUCGGCGACGUCGUCGUGGCGUUGAAGCGCGAACACGAGAUCGUCGUCAUCCCGUGGACGACGCCCAACUCGAUUCGGAUCGUGACGCACCACGAGAUCAACGACGCGGCGGUGCAGGCGGUCGUCGACGGCGUGACGCGGGUGCUGGCGAACAUGUACAGAGGAGGGAGAUAGAACAGAUACUAAGAGAGAAGGGGACGCGCCGACGCUAAAAGCUGUGCUACGCGACGGCGUCGUAAUAAAAAAAAACCGCCCGACGCUCAACAUGCCGACCACGAUGAAACGACGCGCGCGUGUGCGAACGUGCGAACGUGCGAACCGCGUCCGCGUCGUCGCUUCGCUUCAGCUUCACUUCUUCUUCCCCGGCGUCCACUCGCACGCGCUGCCCUCGGCGACCGCCGCCGCCGCCGCCGCCUCCGCUUUUUUUUUCCCCGGCUUCCACUCGCACGCGCUCCCGGCCGCCACCGCGCCUCCCGCGCCGCCGGCCAGCUUCUCCCGGUGCGCCGCCUGCGUCUUCAGCGCCUCGCGCACGCGGUGCUGCAACGGACCGUACUUCCCGCUCGAGAUCGUCUCCAAAAAUGCCGAAGGGUCCACCUCGAUCGGCCGGUCCCUGUCGCUCGCGACGACGCAGACGAAACCGAACGGCUCCUUCGCGUCCUUCUCGCAUCGCAACUGGUGCACGUCCAUCGGCGCGGUGUACGCGACGUCGCCGACGUUCACCGGGUACACGCGCGGGCCGAGUUGCACGACCCCGGACCCGCGCACGCCGACGACCGCGUGCUCGUGCUCGUGCUUCUCGAGCGUCGUCCACCCGCCGGGGGCGACUUCGAAGUACCGGACGUGGAACACCGUGGACUCGCCGCGCUUGCCCAAGAGUUCGUACCGGCUGCAUCCGCUGAACGACGCGCCGUCCAUCUUGUACAUCUCCUGCGGGAUGCGGUCCCACGACCAGUCCGCGAGCUUCGGGCGGUGGAAGACUUUAGAGUAGUUGCCGUCCACGGGCGUGGGCGGCGCGGCGACGCCGGGGGGGAGCGUCCCGCCCGCGCCCGCGCCGCCGCCGCCGUUGGACACGAGCGUCGUGAGCCGCUCGAGCUUCGCCUCGACGCUCGCGUACUGCGCCCUGAGCGCCUUGAGCUCGCGACUCUCCGCGGUCUCCGCGGGCGCGGCGGAAGGACUAACUGGGGGAGGAUGAUGGUGAUGCACUUUCGGCGCCGGAACUUUCGCGAACGGCGCCCCGCCGGCGUCGUUCGCGUACGGACUCUUCCUCGCCUUCGCGAGGUUCGCCGGCGACGCCGCGGUCAUGGACUCGAACGCGGCGCCGAACCCUUUGUAGUCGUCCGGCACGCGCGGCGGCGCGGGGGAUAAAGACACGCGACCAGGGUGCGCCGCCGCCGUCGAGAGAGACACGGCGCCCUCGGGCGCGGGCGAGAGAGACACGGCGCCCGCGCGCGGGGAGCGAUCGCGAUGGCGACGCUCGCUCGCGCUCAGCCUCGGCGACGACGACGACGACGCGUGAACGCCGCCAAAACCGCCAUGCUCGCCGCGGACGUUCUCGAGCGGCCCGUACGUAUCCUGCCUCCCCGCGACGCCCAAGAAGUGCCGCGCGUUCGCGACCAAAUCCGGCGAGUGCCCCAUCAGCGACCCGCCGAUGAGAAGCAUGACGUCCUCGCCGUAGACCUCGUUCAUCUUCCGCACUCUCUCUAACGUCAUCCCGCCGCCGGGGCAGGGCACGAUCGCGGGCGUUGACCCCAACUUUUGUCUCGACCCGAGCGCGAUGUCGCGGCACUCGCGCUCGCUGAACCCGAACCUCCCUCCGAAGGACGGGAAGAUGGUCGCGUCCGCGCCGCAGAGCCGCGGCAAAAUACCGAGCAACACCUUAUGCGAGAAUCCUCGGAUCGGGACGUCGUCCGGACCGUCGCUUCCGCCGCCGAGCAUCGCGCCUAAUAUCGCGGGGUGGCACACGAUCGGAAGCCCGAAGGAUGGGUCCUCCGCGAGCCGUCGCAUCGCGUCCAGGCCGCCGAUCCCUGGGAUCAUGAGCACCGCGCCGGCGCCGCACGCCUAAGGGUCGUUCCGUACGAGCGAAUGUCGGGGUGGAGUUGAAAGGCGUCAGUUGGAGUUGAAAGGCGUCGAGGGCGGGGAUUGAAAGCGAGGGGUGAUGGGCGGAGAGAUGCGACGGGAAGGAAAGUCCUUAAGGAUCAGCGUUCACCACGCGAACGCGGUCGUAUGGGGACCAGUGUAAGGAGAACGCACCUUGGCGAACUUCGCGCGCGGAACGAUCAGAUCCGCAGGCGCGUUCAGACACGGCGCGUACACGCACCGCCGUCCCGUCUCCGCGUUCGCGCGCCUGACCGCGGCGCAGCACGCGCGCACGCGCUCCUCGUACGGCGCGUAGUUUUGAUUCGCGAGGCCGUGGUCGUCUUUGAUGAGAUCGAUCCCCCCCUUUGCGAAAUCGUACGCCAUGGACGCGAGCGCCUCGGGGUCGUUCCAUACGAAGCGAUGUCGGGGUGGAGUUCAUAGGCGUCAGAAGCGGAGUUGAAAGGCGUCGAUGGCGGGGAUUGAAAGCGAGGGGUGGGCGCAGAGACACGCCGGGAAACGUCCUUAAGGAUCGGCGUUCACCACGCGAACGGGGUCGUAUGGGGACCAGUGUGAGAUAGAACGCACCUCGACGUCGCUCCCCAUGGGUUUCAGCGCCGUCAUGAGCAUCGGCCCGCGCAGAACGCCCAGGAUCUCGCGCAGCCCUCUGACCCCGUGCCGCGGCCCGAAGAAGGACGACAGCAGCGACGGCGACAGCGCGAGGUCGGUCACCAUGACGUUCUCCUUGAUGGACGUGUUCCCGAACAGCACGUUGAGGAGUUGCGGGAUCUCGCCCCCGGUCGUGUUGUCGUGAUAUCGCACCACCGCCUCCCAUCGCGUCAGCGCGCUCUGGCGGUGAGGACGAUGAGGAGGACGUUGCGUCGUCGUCGUCGUCGUUUCAAACGCGGUGUUGGCGCCUUUCGAUUUCGGCUGCCACGCGCUCCUGCGAAGCGACUCGCACUUCCCGACGACGUGUUCGUGGAUCCACGUCCCGGGCGGGACGAGCUCGAGCGGGAGCUCCACGGUUUGCUCCAGGCACAGCGCGUCGACGAUCGCCCUCGCGGCGGGUUCGUCGCGCGCGGCGAUCGUGUACGUCACGCGGAAGUGCGGCGGCGGCAUCGCGGCGGACGCGGCGCGCGCGCGGGGGGGGCGGGCCGGGGCCGGCGGCGCGCGCGUGGAUGGAUGGGUGACGACGACGGCGCGUCCGGUGCCGAGAGCCGACUUGAGAGAAAAAUACCGGUGACGGCGAGAAGGAUUUUUUGCUGCAGGCGCGCCACGGGCCAACGCGGUCGAUACCACCCUGCUGACCGGCGAGCGAGGCCUCUGAUCCUAAAAAUCGGUCGUGUUGAUCGGCAAAAAUCCCGCCAGUCACCGACGCGGACGCGAGGCCUGCGGCGAGAAGUGCGUUUCGAAGUUUCUCGAAAUUCCAUCUCGUAUGGGCAAUCAGUCACACGUGUCAGCCCCGAAAGGUCGAAAACGCGGCGCUUUCGGCAAGUGAAAAUCUUGGUUGACCUUUCGCGUUCGGACAGACGGCCUCCUCUCGAUCGGACACACGUUGAUCGGACGCGACAUUCGUCGCCGCGUCGCGCGCGAAUCCGACGGGGCGCGGACGGCACGCACGGCGCGAUGACGUCCGCUCGGAAUAUCGCGCCGGAGAGCCCGACCUCGAAGGCCGGCUCGCCGUUAGGGAGCAACAAGAGCUCGCCGUCGCGCCCGCCGAUCGCGCGCAAAUCGUACAACACCCUCGAGGGCGUGGAGAACCUUGGGACGACGCACCUGGAGUGGGGCGAGUACAAGCUCCUUCGGAAGAUCGGCGUCGGCGCGUUCGGCGAGGUCGCGGCGUAUCGCAACGUGAACAGCGGUCGAUCGCUCGCGGUGAAGAUGCUCAACAAAGCGGCCGCUGUGGACGAGAAGGCGAUCGAGGACCUCGAGAGCGAGGUCUUGCUCCUCUCGAUGCUCUCGCAUCCGCACCUCGUCUCUCUCGAGGGCGUCGGGUACCUCCCCGUCAGCGGCAAGCUGUUCGUCGCGACCGAGUUCCUGGGCGCCGGGAACUUGCAGAAGCUCGUGCAGGAGGCGUCCGUGACCCCGGGGCGGUUCAACGACGCGGACAUCACGAAGUGGAUGUUGCAGAGCGCCGAGGCGCUCGCGUAUUUGCACUCGAGGGAUCCGCCGAUCGUGCACCGCGACCUCAAACUCGCGAACAUCGUGCUGGACGGCAACUACGACGCGAAGAUCAUCGACUUCGGGUUAGCGCGGAUGAUGGGCGUGGAGAAGGUCACGACGACGGUGCGGGAGAGCUUCGGGCCGGGGUAUUCGAACGCGAGCUCGGGCGCGGCGUCGCGCGCGUCCUCGGAGUCGCCGAACGGCAGCCGCGAGAGCUCGCUUCGGCACGGGUUGGCGCUCAUCUCGGAGCACAAAGACGGCAGCGGCAGCAACUCCGGGCGGGAUUCGCCCCCGAUACUCGGGGGGAUUUCGAAGAAGAAGAACUACGCCAAGCAGAAGACGGACAGCGGCGGGAAACCUCUGUAUCUCAUGACGGGCGGCACGGGGAGUUUCAAGUACAUGGCGCCCGAGGUGUACAAGGGAGAGCCGAUGAACGAACGACUGGACGUGUACUCGCUCGCGAUGAUCGCGUACGAGCUCCUCACGAGGCAGAUUUUCUUGACCGGGAUGUAUAAGAACCUUCACAACGGGUUCACGCACGAGUACGACGCGGAGGAGUGGGCGAGCGAGGCGGCGAUCGACGAACGACGGCCGCCGCUCGAGGCGGUGUCCGAUUUCGAGUGGAAAGAGCUCCUCCCGUCGAUGUGGAUCGGGGAGGUGGGGAAGAGGAUGAGCGCGUCGCAAGCCGCGGAGGAGCUCAGGGCGAUGCACGAGAGGACGAAAGAGAAAUGCACAGCCCCGGGCGCGAUGCAGCCGCAGUGCGGCUGCGUGCUGAUGUGAUCGAUGACGACCGCGGUCGAACGAUCGAUCGAACGAAAGCGCGACGAGGAGAGUAGCGUACUAAGUACAAAAGUACUUUCGUAACUACACGUACACUGUAGUGAUCUAAACGAUCUAAACGGCAGAGCCAACGAGGACCACGGAAAGCUGCUCGCUUCACUUUUUUGUCUGUAUCCAACGUAUUAGAGCUACCAUAUCACAUCUGCCGCGCGUCGAGCAUGUACUUCAGCUAGUACUUCAGUCCCACGUUCACGAUGGACGUCAGGCGGUCCGGGAGCCCCUCGUCGUUCACGACGUCGUCCCCGACGUUCGCGACGUAGUCGAUGUCCUCCCCCCAUCGAACCUCCGUGGCGCGCGCGACUUCUUUUUCCAACUCGGCGAUUUCCUCGCGCAUCGCCGCGGCGCGCGUCUCCGCAUCCGCCGCGGCGUCCAAACGCGCCGCCUCCGCCUGCAGCGCCCUCUCCUCCGCUCUGACCGCGGCUCGCUCCGCGUCCAUGAGCUUAUCUAACGCCUCUUUGGCGUGCGUUUCCGCGAGGUGCUGCGCGCGUUUGGCUUGCUCCGCCGCUUCCGUCGCGCGCGCCAGCCGCGCGUUCAAGUCCAAAUUCACAGCCUCCGCCUUUUCCAAUCGCGGGUCCCCGUCCGCGUCGUAGAACACCGCCUCUCGCGCCUUCUUCAGCGCUCGCUCCAUCGCGGACGUCGCCUCGUCCGCUGCGAGCGCGCGGCUCUCCGCGACCGCGGCAGCCUUCUCCCACUUCGCCGCCUUGAUCGCGUACGCGCGCGUCUCGUCUCGCGCCUCGGACACGCGUUCCUCCUCCCGCCUGACGCGUUCUUCCAACUCCGUCGCGUACGCGGCUCUUCGAUCGGACAGCGCCUUGGCGCGCGCGAGCUGCGCCUCCGCCGCCUCCCUCGUCUCCGCGGCCGCGCGCUUGGACUCCGCGACGGCCAUCCUCGCGAGCGAUGCGGCGUCGUGCGCAGCCUCCGCCUCCGCCUCCGCCCUGGCGGCGGCGUCGUCGGCGAGCCUCGCGUCCUCCCUCGCGCGCGCCAGCUUGUCCCGCAACACCCGUUGCGCCUCUCUCCCGAGCGCCUCCGAGCGCGCGACCGCGUCGGCUUCCUCUUUCAAGACGCACGCGGCCGCGCGCACGAGCUGCGUCUCGUCCAGCGCGGACAUCUUCGCCGCGCGCGCGCGGUUCGCGUCGUCCUCGGCCGACGCGCGCGCGGCGACGGCGGCGCUCACCGUCGCGCGCAACCGCCGGCCCUAUACAAGCGAAAGUCGGGUUGGAGUUGAAAGGCGUCAGUUGGAGUUGAAAGGCGCCGAGGGCGGGUAUUGAAAGGGAGGGGUGAUGGGCGGAGAGAUGCGCCGGGAGAUAAAGUCCUUAAGGAUCGGCGUCCACCUCGCAAACGCGGUCGUAUGGGGACCAGUGUACAGAACGCACCUCCUUCGCGGCGGCGAGCUCGACGAGGUACGCCCUCGGCUCGCCGCGUCUUCGUCUCGUCGCGUUGUCCGGCGGUAUCACAUCGUCGCAUAUCGUCGCCCCGCCGCCGGAGACGAGCAUCACGCCCGCGCGGUGCGGGAACAUCGCGUGGGUCACGCGGUGCGCCGCGCCCGGCGGGGAUUCGCUCGGCGCCGCCGCGCCGACGCGGAGUCGCCGCCACGUCAGCGCGUCGAGCUCCAGCGCGUAAACGACCGCGUCGGACACCGCGCCGCCGUCGACGCCGACGCCGCCGCACGCGAGGAGGAGGUUCCCGACGACCGUCAGCGCGUGCUUCGCGCGAGGGGUGGGGAACGGCGACGGCGGCGCCGGCGGCGACGCGAGCACGGAAAUCUCCGCGGCGACGCCGAAUCGCGAAAUCGGGGACGCGUCGUCGCGCGCCUCCUCCUCGGACGCCGCGACCGCAUCCGGCGGGAGCCGCGUCCACGCGCAGGUCGUCGCGUCGAAGGCGUACGCGUCACCGAGGGUCGCGCCGUCCGCGGCGACGCCGCCGUGGACGAACGUUCGCCCGCGCGCGCCCGGCGCCGUCGCGCACGCGGCGUCUCUCCUCGGGCACGGGACGUCGCCGUACUGUUCCGGCGAGCACCACCGCAGCGACGCGACGUCGAAGCGCCACAGGUCGUUGACGAGCCCGACGCCGCUCUGGUAUCCGCCGUGAACGAACACGUCCGGCAUGGUCCCGGGUUCGGGCGCGGGCGCGAACGCGACGGCGUGCGACCGCGGCGGCGGCGGCGGGGAGAAGAGCGCCCUCGGGAGUCGCACCCACUCCCACUCCGGGGGCGCGAACUCGUCGUCGCGCGGGUCCUCCUCGUCUGAAACGUCCGAGAGGUCGUCGCCUGAACCGCCGCGCUGCUUCGCGGCGGUCUNNNNNNNNNNNNNNNNNNNNNNNNNNNNNNNNNNNNNNNNNNNNNNNNNNNNNNNNNNNNNNNNNNNNNNNNNNNNNNNNNNNNNNNNNNNNNNNNNNNNUUCUUCGGAACCGUUUCCGGCGAAUCAACGCGCACGCCUCGGACGUUUCAGCCUUCAGACGCGGGUCGAACCCGCCGUACACGAAGACGCCGCCGACGACGUCCGCGGGGUCGGCGCCGCCCGCCGCCGCCGCGGUGGCCGCCGCCGUCGCUGACAACGCGCAGAUCGCGGGGUUCUGCACCGAGACCGGCGCGUCCCCGACCGGAGCGAUCGCGGCCCACGCCAACUUCGGCUCGUAGUCCCAACUCGCGUCGGCGCCCCCGGCGUCGUCGAUUUCGACGCACGUCACCGCCAUCCGCGGCGCCGCGUCUUCGUCCGUCGCCGCCGCGUCCUUCUUCUUCCUCCUCUUCUUCGCAUCCCCCCCCUUCGUCGCCGUCGCCGUCGUCGUCGUCCCGUCGCCGCCGGGAAGGAUCGUGACGACGCACCCCCUCGCCGCCGGCUCGACGUCGCCGUCGCCGUCGCGGUAGGGCAAGAACACCGGCGCGAGCGCGUCGCACUCGAGGUCCGACGCCGCCGCGUCGCCGGCGACGUCCUCCGCGCCCGUGCCAAUCAGCUCCCUCCACGUCAGCGGCGACUCCAACACGCCGCCGCCGCCGGGCGCGAGGACGCUCGCGCGCGCCUCCGCAGCCUCGAGCAGCGCGCGCGUCUCCGCCUCGCGCGAGGAGGCUUUCCGAGCGGCUUCCUCGGAGACGUCCGACGCGCGUCGAAGCGCGUCCGCCUCGGCGCGAAGCGUCGUCAUCGCCUCCGUCGCGUCGCUCGCUCUCUCGACCGCGGCGCGCGCGGCGGAUCGCGCGGCGGCGUACCGCCACUCGCGCAUCGCGUUCUGGGCGCAUCGCAGCGCCGCGUUUCGCUCGCCGCGUCUCAACAGCGCGCGGUAUUUCGCGCUCUGCGACGCCGCCGCGCGCCAACGGACGACGGCGGCGAGCGUCGCGCUUCUUCGCGCCGCCGCCGAAGCUCGCGCGUCCGUCGCCCACGCGUCGAACGCCCGGGCGACCCUGCGCUUCUUUUGCAUCGCGCGCAUCCUCGCGACGGCGACUUUCAUGACGCGCCACCCGCCCGCGAUGUCCCUCCACGCGCGCAUCUCGCGUCGAAGGUGCGUCUUUAUCGUCGCCUUCACGAACCCUCCGACGCGGCGUCUCAAGCGCGCCGUCGCGCGCGCGUCCGCGGCCCAGGACCGGAACACCUCGAGGUAUCUCCGUCGGUGCGCGCGCGACAGCUUCCCGGCUCCCAUCUUCGCGAAGACGCGCGCGCGCCAGACGUGCUCUUUCCACCUCCGGAACAUCCACCGGUCGCGGCUCUUACGCGCUCGGACGCGCAACGCGGCGAGGUCGUGCGCCAGCCGGCGACGCGCGGCGGUGAACUCCCGACGCCACUCCCUCCACGCGAUCGCGCGGCGGUGCAUCUCGUGCGCGCGCUUCAUGCGCGCGAGUUUCCUCUCGACGCGCGCCUUUUCGCUCGCGACGACGCGCCACGCGCCAAACGUCGCCGCGACCGCGAACCGGUCGCGCUUGCGGUACAAGUCUGAAGCCUUCCGCGCCGCCUUCCUCGCGUUCGCGUACGCCCGCCGCGUCUCGCUCGCCCACCCCAAGAACGCGGCGCGCGAUCUGCGCGACCGCGUCAUCACCCCGACGCGAUCGCACGCGGUUCGAACGCGCCACACCCAUCGUAUCGUGUUCGUGAACUGCGUAAACGCCGCGCGCGUCUGAAUCUUUUUCCACUUGGGCCCGGCGCGUGAUUGGAGCGACCUCGACGCGCGUCGUUUCCGCGCGUAGAUCCUCAACGCCGCGAGCGCCGCGCGCAGGCGCCCCUCCGCGAACUUCACCGCGCUGCGCUCGAGCGAUCGCACGACGACGUUGUUCAGCGUGCGCCGCUCCGCGAAGUUGUCCGCGAGCGCCUCGUUCCUCGCGUUGGUAGCCGCGACGUCCACUUGCGUUCGAGCCUCCGGGUCGUUCCAUACAGGCGAACGUCGGGGUGGAGUUGAAAGGCGUCAGGUGGAGUUGAAAGGCGUCGAGGACGGGAAUUGAAAGCGGGGGGUGGGCGGAGAGAUGCGCCGGGCAAAGUCCUUAAGGAUCGGCGUCCACCACGCCAACGCGGUCGUAUGAGGACCAGUGUAUAGAACGCGCCUCCUUCUCUCGGCGCUCCGCCUCCUCAAGACGCGCGCGCAACGCUUUGUUCUCGUCCUCCAGUCGUAAUAUCGCGACGUACUGCCCGCGCUCGCGCUGGUACAGCGCGCCGCGAGAGGACGAAUCUCGAUGACCGUUGACGCCUCCCUGCGCGCUCAUCGGGCUGUCGCCGCCGCGGAGGGGCGCCGCGGGCGUCGGCGUCGCCCCCGGGGGCGACGCCGGGGGCGCGUUCGCGUUCAUCUCGUUCAUCGUCGCCUCCGCCUCCGCGCGGAGCUUCUCCGACGCGCUCGCUCCCUCGAUCGCGGCCUGCGCGCGCGCAGCCUCUUCCGUCAGCCUCGCGCGCAUCGCGUCCAGCUGCUUCGACAGCGCGAGUAUCGCGCCGUCUUUCGCCGCGGCGCGUCCGGACGCGCCCGCCUUUUUCAGAUUAAACGCGCUCCCGUCCGCCACCGCGGCCGCGGCCACCACCUCCGCCGCGCUCGGCGCGUCGUCUCUCCGCGCGGCGCGCCCCGGGGACGAAGAAGCGACGUACACGGACGGCUCGAACGUCGUCGGCGUCGCGGCGCGCGCCGCGGGGGACGCGUCGCGCGAUCCCCCCCGAGAGGAGCCCGCGCGUCUUGUUGAGCCGUUGUCGUCGUCCACGGUACCACGACGUCGCGCGUUUCCGCCCGGCGGUCCGUCGCCUCGACUCGGCGAGCUCGACCGCGCGGACACCGGAUGCGAGGAGCUCCCCUCGACCCAGGACUGCCGCGCUUUCGGCGGGGACGCGCUCCCUCGCGGGGACGUGCCCCUGGACGACAUCGCGGGGGGCGCGUGCGGAGGAGCGAGCGCGCGUCGUCGUCAAUGCCGAUGCGUGCUGACAUCUCGCGGGCCCGCCAGCACGAACGGUCACAAAAAAGUCACGCUCGCUCUCCGAGGGAGGAGCGAAAUCUAAUUCAUUCGGUCCGCGCGCGCCCGUCGCGAGCGCCACGCACGAUGAGCGGCAAGAAGGAGACCGUCCUCGAUCUCGGGAAGUUCAUCGACAAGGGCGUCCGGGUCAAACUCAGCGGCGGCCGCGAGGUGACCGGGACGCUGAAAGGGUUCGAUCAGCUCUUAAACCUCGUCCUGGACGAGUGCGUCGAGAGCCUGCGCGAUCCCGAGGACCCUCUGAAGAUAUCCGACAAGACGCGGAAACUCGGGCUGAUCGUGUGCCGCGGGACGUCCGUGAUGGUCGUGAGCGGGUUGGACGGCAUGGAGGAGAUCGCGAACCCGUUCACGGAGGGUGGGGAGGCGGUGAUGGACGGGCCCGCGGAGUGAUCGUUCGAUCGUUCGUUCGAUCGAUCCGUCGAUCUCGCGCGGGGGCGAUUUUUAGGGCGGGGCCGAGAGGACGGCGAUCGAGGGAGCGCGCGGCGGCUCGGGGGAGGGAUAGACGAUUAUAAUAGUAACGCGAGACUUCGCCCUCCGCGAACAUCACGCGACGCGACGACGCGCAAACCGAGGACCAGCGCCGAUACUCUUCGGCGGGUCGCGCCAGCGCGCGAAAUUCAUCCACGCGCGAGAGUCUUCGUCACGGCAACUGCCUCUGAAACGCCGCGGCAGAAUCUCCCCGCGCGGGGCAGCGCGUCGUCCUCCGCGGCGCGUCCACUCUCCGCGGCGGAACGGAACCGGCGCGGCGGCGGCGUGCACGCGCGCGCGCCGUCAUCCUCCUCCUCCUCCUCCUCCUCGUCCGUCGGUCGCUUUCUUCUCCGCGCGCGUCGCGGUCGUCAUGGCGCUCGCGGUCAAGACCGAUUUUGAAGUGGACGAGCGCGCGCGCGCCCAGCGCGCGUCCGAACUCCGCGCGCGCGACUACGAAGCGUGGCUCGAGGACGCGAAGGAGGGAUGGCGGCUCAUCGCGAAGAAACGCGCCGCGCUCAGGUCGUUCGUGAAGAAGGAGAACGACCUCGACGCGGUCGCCGGGGGCGGAUCUCGGGGGAUCUCGGACGCGAAGCGCGCGCGAUUCGCAGCGCUCGAGCUCACCAACGUGCACGCGCUGUCGAGAGACGAGCAGAAAAAGUCGAAGAAGCCGAAGGGCGGCCUCACGCGAUGGCGUCUCGCGAAGCUCGACGACCUCGUCUUGGGCGAGGCCGCGACGUUGCAGCAGGCGGUGCGCGCGUUGGCGCGGUUGCGCGCGAGAGAGGCGGAGGAGGAGGCCGAGGGGGUCGCGCCCGGGUCGCUGCUCGACGAGGAGGACCGGAUGACGCGGCUGGAGUUAUUCUCCAUGGGCACGCGAGCGGGGAGGCGCGAGGGGAACGUCGACGGAGAUGAGGAUGAUGAUGAUGAGGAGGACGAGUUGGAGCGAGACGACGGGAUGAGGGGCCCAGGGGGAGGAGGCGCGUAUGGGAAUUUAGGCGUCGACGACGACGUCAACGACGACGACGGCGGCGGCGGCGGCGGGGCGCGACACGACGCGAGCGCGGAGCUCGCGGACUUCGCGCGGAGGGAGGCGAACAAUGAAAACGACGACGACGACGACGCCGACUACGACGACGACGACGAGAUGGACGACGACGACGAAGAGAACGACGAGGAGAACGACGAUCCCGCCGCCGCGACCGCGACCGCGCCCGCGACCGCGCCGGCGCCGGCGCCAGGGGAGACCGCGCACGACGCGCUCGCGGCGUACGGCGCGGGCGAUUUCUCGGAGAUCGCGCCGUUUGAUAGCACGUGGAGCCCGCGAGGCGCGGUGACGUCUCCGGGGGGGAACGCCGCCGCCGCCGCCGCCGCCAAAACGCCGAUGUCGCCGCCGUCGCGCGCGGCGCAAGCCGCGCGCGAGAUGGGCUUCGGCGACGGCGGGGCUUUCCGAUCUUCGCCGCGACGCCCCAACGCGGCGGCGCCCCCGCCCGCGACGGCGGCUCCCACCGUCGAGGGCAUCGCACGCGAGGAAGAGGAAGCGAGAGCGAGGCUGGACAACGACCGACGAAGCGCCGCGUCGCGCGCGUCGUCGCGGGUCCUGCUCCGCGGCGCCGGCGCCGGGUCGGGGUCCGCGCGGGAUCUCGCCGCGUCCGAGUCGAUGGCCGCGGGCGUCGCGUCCGCGGCGGCGGGGAUCGUCACCCGCGACACACCCGAUCUCCCGGGUCGCGCGCUCGUCGUGUGCCCGACCGUUCAGGUUCAGCCGACCGAGGAUCCGGAGGGUGGCGCGCCGAGGAAGAAGCGCAAGGCGCGUUCUAUACACUGCUCCCCAUACGAUUCCGUCGCCGUGGUGAACGCCGAUCCUUAAGGACUUUUGCCGUCGUCUCUCUCCGCCCACCCCUCGGUUUCAAUCCCCGCCCUCGACGCCUUUGAACGCCAACUGACGCCUUUGAACUCCACCCCGACAUCGCUUCGUACGGAACGACCCCAAGUACGUGAAACGUCAAGCGCGAACGGUGCAGACGACGGCGGACAAAGAGAUCGACGCCGCGGUCGAGCUCGCGGACAAGCCGCCGUCGACGCUCACGGUUCGAGAGCUCGCCGUGCUCUUGAAAGGCGCGAAGCUGCUCAUCGCGCGACGACGCGUCCUCCUGUACAACGGAAUCGACAGCUCGUCGAGACGCGCCGCGCUCGGGUUCCGAGUCGUCGCGAAGAAGAUUCACAAGUGCGUCGCGUGCGGCCGCGUGUUCGACGUGCCGAGCAGGUGCGUUCUAUACACUGGUUCCCAUACGACCCCGUUCGCGUGGUGAACGCCGUUCCUUAAGGACUUUCGCCGGCGAUUCUCUCCGACCACACCUCGCUUUCAAUCCUCGCCCUCGGCGCCUUUCAACUCCAUCUGACGCCUUUCAACUCCACCCCGACGUUCGACGCGCCGAGCAGACUCGUAGACCACAUGAACGAGCACACGGGCGCGCGGCCGUACGCGUGUCCGCACGAAUCGUGCGGGAUGACGUUCACGAACCGCCAAGCGCUGGCGAUGCACAAGAAGAGCAUCCACGACCCGAAGGAGCACGUCUGCCCGGUGCCCGGGUGCGGCAAGCGGUUCAGCAACUCGAGCACGCUGAAUCAGCACCGGUUGGCGCACAGCGACGAGCGGCCGCACAAGUGCGAGGUGGCCGGGUGCGGGAAGACGUUCAAGACGGAGAGCGCGCUGGCGACGCACGGGAGGGUGCACACCGGGGAGAAGCCGUUCAAGUGCGAGGUCGAGGGGUGCGGGAAGAGUUUCGGGUACAAGCUGGACUUGCAGCGGCACACGCGGACGCACUUUGGGCAGCCGGCCAAGCCGGGGGCUUCGAGGAAGCGGCCGCGCGGGGUCGGGGGCGCGGCGCAGCUUCCUCCGCCGGGUCACACGGCCGCGCAGCCGGGGUUCUGGAACAUGAACUCCAUGACGUGGCUCACGGGCGAGCGGUGAUAGGAACGGGACGAACGGGACGAACGGAACGGACGGGGGGGGGAUGGAUUCACAUCGCGCUGUCGCGACGACGACGACGGCGACGACGACGAUCGCUCGAGAACGAACGAACGAAAGGUUUCAUUUGACGACGGGACGUCUCAUCUCAUCAUCACAACCCGAAGUGCUUGUUGUACACCGCGGUGAACUGAUACUCCGCGGCGAUCAUCCUCCCCGCGAACCACCUGGAGUGCAGCGCCGCCUGCGCCCUCUCCGCGCCCUUGACCUCCGCGAACUUGAGGUACACGAACCCCUCGCUGUCCUUGUCCACGUGGCAGUGCGCCACCGCGCCGUGUUUCCCGCACUCGUCCUUCACGUCCUCCGCGAUGUCGUUCCACCACUCAGGCUCCGUCUCCUCUUUCGGGUCGAACAAGUUCUUCAGCAGCAGCGUCUGCGUCGGGAUCGGCGACCCGGGCCCGAGCACGCCCUGCGCCGUCGGCAACGCCGCCGCGGGCAUCUGCGGCGUCGCCAGCUUCGCCGCCUCCUGCGCGGUGAUGACGCGCCCGGACGCGUCCACGCCGGCGAAGUCGCCGCCGUCGGACGUCCCGGCGAGCCUCGCCAUCAGCGCCGCGCGUCCUCGCGAGUCCAUCCGCACGCCCUCCGCGUCCUCCGAGAGCGACACCGCGUUCGCUUGCGUGUACGCGAUGGCCGCCGCCGUCGCCGGAUUUACGACGACGGGCGCUACGAACACCUUCAACGUCUUCCCCACGAGCUCUAGACCGUUCAACUGCGACACCGCGAGCAUCGCCUGCUGCGUGAGCUUGUACUGCACGUGCGCGCCGCCGCUCUGGUCCUUGUCGAUGGUUAUGAAGUCCGUCUCCCCGAACGGCUCGAACACCGCCUUGAGGUCCUCCUCUCGAACGUUCGGGUGGACGCCCUCGACGCGGAGUUUGCACGGGCCCGCGGUGGGGUUUAGGUUUGGGUUUAUCGCCGGGUCCACGGUCGUCGCGAGCUUCUGCUCCUCGCGCUUCGUCGCCUGCUCCGCCUCCCACGCGAUGUUUUUCUCCGCCUCGGACGACUUCACCAUCACGACCUGGUUCCGCAGCGUCUGACCCGUCAGGCUGAGCGCGUUUUCGAUCGACGCCUUGUCUUUGAACUCGACGUACGCCAUGCCCUUCGAUCGCGGCGUGUUCCGGUCGUAGAUGAUCCGCACGUCGCUCACGAUCCCGGCCGCGCUGAAGAACUUGUAAAUCUCGCGCUCGUCCGCCUUCGUGCUCAGGUUGUACGCGAACACCGUCCGCGUGUCGCGGUCGAGCUUCUCGAGCUCGCGCUUCUGCUGCUCCGAUUCCCUCUCCUCCCUGCGUCGCUUCUUCUCCGCCUCGCGCUCCUCGUCCGUGAGCUUGCUCCCGCCCUUGGAGCGGCUCCGCGAGCGCGACCGUCGCGAGUGGCGACGAUCGCGGCCCCUGUCGCGGUCUCGGUCCCGCGCACCGCCGCCGCGAUCUCGCGAUCGGUCUCGGUCUCGUCCGCCGCGACCUCGAUCACCUCGAUCGCGGUCAGACCGGUCCCCGCGGUCGCGUCGGACGUCCCUGUCGCGGUCGCGCCGGUCGCGCUUCUCCCCGGGCUUCUUAGGGUCCUCGUCGUCCGCGGGCGCGUCCGCGGACGGCGCGUCGAGCUUCUUCUCGAGCUCGUCCCACUCGUCCUUGUAGUCGCCGUCGCCCAUCGCGAUCGACGACGGAGAUUUAUUCGGGAGGGAAGGAGGUGCUGAUUACGACGACGCGCGCGACGAUCUGAUGCUGACCGACGGCGUCGGCGGCUCCGGACGCUCGCGCGCGUUCGGGUCCCGACUCGAUCUUCUGACGAUUGAACGCCGCGUCCACCGCCUUCGCGCGCGCGCGCCCUCGCUCGGUCUCGUGUGCGCGGUCGUCAGCGCGCCCCACGGUGUGUCGACGCCGCCGCCGAUUUCCACGGCUGCGUCGAUGGCGAUUUCCCGCGCGGCCGCUGAUGAAGACAAGUUUCGAAAGAUGAUCGCGCCAACUGUCAGGUCAUCGUGCGCACUCCUCCCCCGCGAGACCACGAUGUCGCCCGCGGGCGCGGACGACGACCCGUCCAAGUACCUCGGCCGGCGCGUCGAGGUCCACUGGGCGAACGACGACCCGCCGACGUGGUACCCCGGCGUCGUCGCGCGAUACGAUCCGCGGAGGAAGGACGCGCGGUAUCGCGUCGACUACGACGACGGCGCGGACGAGUGGGUCGACUUCCCGGAGCCGACCGUGCGGUUCUUAGACCCGGAGCCGGCGCCGGAGCCGGCGGCGACGUCGCCGGCGAAGAGGAAGAUGACCGUCGGCGUGAAGCGCGCGGCGCCGUCGACCGCGGCGUCGCCGCGCGCCGAUCCGAUGAUCGGCGACGACAUUAGCGUGCCGAUCGUCGCCAGCGCGAAGAAGGGUACGUGUAAGGGCGGUGCCGACGCCGCCGGCGCGAAGAAGAGACGCCCGGCCGCCGCCUCGGGGAAGAAGAGAGCGAAGGCGAAGGCGAACGACGACGGCGACGCGGCCGUCGUCGACUCCAAGUGCGACGAGUCGCUGUGGACGCGAGCGGCGCGCGCGACGACGGCGUCGCCCGACGGCGCGCUGAUGCCGUCGACGCUGAAAGUGCUCGAGACGUUCGCCGGCGCCGGCGGGUUACACAUGCACGGCGACGCCACCCACGGGCCAUCCGGCGUCGCCGUCGCGCUCGAGUCCGUCGCCGCGAUCGACAUCGUGAAGGACGCGUGCGACACGUAUUCGCACAACUUCCCGGGCGUGAACGUGAUGCACAUCGGCAUCUCGCGGUGCCUGGCGACGGCGCGGCGGCUGCAACGCUUGAAGACGCGCGACUGCGACGCGCGUUGCGACGGCGAAUCGUGCGCCUCCGCGCCGCACGAGCCCGUCGGCGAGCUCGAAGACGUGAACGACGACAUCACGCGCGUGUUAGACUUCCGCAUCACGGACGACGCGACGCACAUGCGCGAGGAGGACGUGCGGCGGAUCAAAGGGAACAAGAAGGGGUCGUCCACGAAGGACAAGCAGAUGUUGGACGAGGUGACGGCGCUGGAGGUGACCGGGAAGAAGCCGCUGCCGUGGAUCGAGUGGCUCGUGGAGAACCACCGCGGGGACACGUGGUGGGAGCGGGACUCGAGCGAGGGGCGGCUCGAGCACGGCGCGCGGGUGUACAUGCGCGCGGACGAGCACCCCGAAGUGUACGAAGAGUUCGCCGAGUUUGAUGAAGGGUCGGACUUUGAAGAAUGCGAAUACGCGCCGUUCGGACCGCACAAGUUCCCGCUCCCGGGAGACGUGCACGUCGUCACCGGCGGGCCGCCGUGCCAGGGCUGGAGCGGGUUCAACCACACGAGGAGCACGUCGGACCAGCUCGCGGAACUCAUGGAGCACCCGGAGAACAGGCUCAUCUGUCGGUUCAUGUAGCUCUGCUGGUUCUACGAGCCGUGGUACGUGCUCAUGGAAGAAGGCGCGAUCAUAUUUACACUGGUCCCCCCACGACCGCGUUCGCGCGGUGAACGCCGAUCCUUGAGGACUUUUCCCGGCGUGUCUCUCCUCCCACCCCUCGCUUUCAAACCCCGCCCUCGGCGCCUUUCAACUCCGCUUCUGACGCCUUUGAACUCCACCCCGACGUUCGCUCGAAUGGAACGACCCGAAGUCCCGGACGUCGCGUCCAAGUCCAACGUGAUGGACUUCAUCACGGGCGCGUACGGCGAGAAAGGGUACGACACGUGGUUCGAACCGAGGCUGCGGACCGGGCACUUCGGGUGCCCGCAGACGCGCGAUCGGCUCAUCUUCGUCGCGUCGUUGCGAGACGCGGUGGACGCGCCGCCCGCGCGUCCGACGCCGAUUUGCAGCGAUUUCGAGCGCGAUAAAAAUUACGCCAUGGACGAGCUGCGCAUCCAGCAAGCCUUCCGCGGCUCCGACGCGACGUACCCGAUCUCGAUGUACGACGGCCGCGUCAACAAGAGCAAAGAGCUCAUGCGGAGCCUCGUCAUCGGCGACGCCGUCAGCUGCGACCUGCCGACGGACGCGGUCGGGUACGGCUCGCACGCCGGGAACAAGUCGACGGAGGCGGAGGAGGUGGGACGCGCGACGGCGCCCUACGCGUCCGCGGCGUCGACGCCGUACAUCGCGUAUCUGCGGCAGGGCGCGGACGACGAGCGCGGCGUGAGCAACCACGUGAAUUACGCGCUCGGCGAGCUCGAUAAGAUGCGGUGCUCGCUCGUGCCGUACGACUGCAAGGGCGUCGGGUGGAGGGAGAUGGCGGGGUCCAUGAACUCGAUGAAGGCGCCGAAGAUGAUGCGGUGCGACGACGCGCAGUGGGCGCAACUCUCGCAGCGGUGGUGCAACAAGAUCCCGAGCUUCAUGCUCACGGAUCAAAACGCGGCGCUGCGCGCGAAGAAGAAGCCGCUGAAGCUGGACCCCGCGACGGGGAUGCCCGCGGUGAAGCCCGGGUGGAAGCUCCGGUCGCGCGUCUUCCCGCUCGUGCCGUACUGGUGCCUGACGAUGAAGGCGGGGAAGGAUUCCGGGUGCUACGGCCGUCUCUCCUACGACGAGCCGCACCCGACGGUGCACUCGUACCACAAGCCGCACUGGCACCCGAGCCUCGUGCCGUACGCGCCGCGAGUGAUGAGCGUCAGAGAGAAGGCGCGCAUUCAGGGGUUCCCGGACCGUUUCGUCUUCAAAGGGACGGUGCACCAGCAGUACAAGCAGAUCGCCAACGCGGUGUCGCCGCAGCUCACCAAGGCGCUCGCGCGGUCGAUCCUGCACUCCGCGCUUCAGACGAAGACGCGCGGCGCGUUCGACGCGAGCAAAGACGCGGAGUCACUGCGCCAGGUGACGUACUCGGAAUCGCUGCCGAACUUCAAAGAUUUCAUGUCGGGCUUCGACGAGAACGCGGUCGCCCGGUUCAAACGCCACGCCCCGAUCGCGGUGAAGACGCCGAAGCUGUGCGAGAUGACCUACGCGGAGUUCCUCAUGGAGUACAACACGGAGUUUCGCUCGGAUCACAGCGUGCGGAACGCCAACUUGACGCCGUUUCAGGUUUUACACCAAGUCGAGAUCAACCACAGCUGGCACGUCGGCGAGGUGUUCGCGGUGCGGUGGAACGAAGGCGGCGGCGACGGCGGCGGCGACGCGGGCGCCUACCGGGAGAUUUUGAUCUCGUUCAAGGGGUUCACGAAACCGGAGUGGGUGGACCUGAACGGCGACAUGUACGUCACGCUGCCGUGGAAGCAGUUCAUGAGCAAACACACGGACGAGGUCAGCGCGGUGUUGAACGCGCCGAAGUCGAAGCAGCGGUUCGGCGUCCCCGGCUCCGGGUUCGCGCGCCCCGGACGCGUGCUGAACCUCCCGCCGGAGCUCGACGUCCUCUCCACGGUGAACGGCGAGGGCGCGCUCGAGGGCAACGGGUACUCGCAGCCGGAGCUCAUCGCCGCGGAGACGCAGUUCAACGAGUGGGAUCAGACGUACGCGGACGAUAAAGCGGAGGGGAGGGUUUUAGUCACGAACACGACGAAGAAGUACGACAGGAAGACGAAGGGGAAGGCGGUGAAGUCGGCGGCGCCCGCGAAGAAGAAGGCGGAGAUCGUCGCGGAAGAAGAGGACGACGACGAGGAGGACGAGGAGGACGUGGAGCUGGAAGAAGAUCUUCCGCAGUGCUCCGACGACGAGGAUUGAUUGACGAUGCUUUGGUUCGUGUAUUUCAUUUAAUUUUACGUAUUUAAAGGGUCGUAAGUUAAGAAGUAGUCGUCUUCUUCACCGCGACGACGGAGCCUUUCAAUCCGUUGACGUAAUCCCUCGCGCUCAUCGCCUUCUUUCCCGGCGGCUGGAGCUCCGUGAUCUCCAGCCACCCGCCGCCAGCGCACGGCACGCGCAUGCAGUCCUUCCUGAUCACGACCGUCCCCGCCGCGCGCGCGGCCGCGUCGUCGCCUUCGCCUUCGCCUUCGCCGCCGACGCGCGUGGUGACGAUCUUCAACGACACUUCCUUCGCGUCCGCCGCGGCCUCCGUCUCUUUCCGCACCGCGAACGUCGCCUUCGUCCCGGGCCACCCCGCGAACCCGCGCACCUUAUCGUGCAGCCUCCGCGCGCUCAGCUCGCCGUCGCAGAAGUCGAGCUCGCUCUCCUCGACGCUCACCUUGGCCGCGUGCGACGCCUCGCCGUACGACUCCUGCGGGGUGGAGUUGAAAGGCGUCAGAAGCGGAGUUGAAAGGCGUCGCGGGCGGGGAUUGAAAGGAAGGGGUGGGCGGAGAGAGAAGACGGCAAAAGUCCUUAAGGAUCGGCGAUCACCACGCGAACGCGGUCGUAUGGGGAACAGAGUGACGCGACUCUUACCUGCGGCGUCGUCCCGGCGUCGAACGCCGCCGCGCCGCUCCACACGUCCGGCAACGCGUCCACGAGCGCCCUCGCGCCGAGGCCGAACAGCUCCUCGAGCAGCUCCGGGUGCUUCUCGUCGCCGAGCAGCGGGCGCUCGAUCCUGCGGAGCACCGGGCCGGCGUCCAUCUUGAGCACGGUGUACGCGACUGAGGGCCGAGGAUCCGUACGAAGCGACGAACGUCGGGGAGGAGUCGAGAGGCGUCAGAAGCGGAGUUGUGAGGCGUCGAGGUGUGUCGGGAUUGAAACCGUGGUGUGGGCGGAGAGAAAUCCCGGGAAGUAAAGUCCUUAAGAAACGGCGUUCACCACGCGAACGCGGUCGUAUGGGGACCAGUCAGUGUGAGGAAUACGCGCCUGAGACGCCGGUGACGUCCACGCCCGCCUCGAGCGCGCGCUGCACCGGCGCGGCGCCGCGAAACUGCGGCAACAGACUCGGGUGGAUGUUCAGCGUCCCGAGGCGCGGGAUGUCCAGGAAGCGCUGCGGAAGGAAGUUGCCGUACGCCGCGGUGACCAUCAGGUCCACGUCCAUCGCUCGCAGCGUCGCUAGGAAGUCGUCCUGCAAGCGAAUGUCGGGGUGAAGUUCAAAGGCGUCAGUUGAAGUUGAAAGGCGUCGAGGCCGGGGCUUGAAAGCGAGGGAUGGGAGGAGAGACACGCCGGGAAAAGUCCUUAAGGAACGGCGUUCACCACGCGAACGCGGUCGUAUGGGGACUGGUGUAUAGAACGCACCUCGUUCGCCUUGACGGGGCACAAGAUAAAAUCCUCGGGGACGCCGCGCGUCGCCGCGAGCGCGGCGACGGGCGACGGCGGCGGCGGGCCGCUCGAUUUUCGCCCGCGCCCUCGCGGGCGCCCGGGCUGGGACACGACCGCGUGGACUUCGAACGCGGCGUCCGGGGUCUCCGCGGCGUCGAAUAUCGCGCUCAGCGCGCCGGCGGCGACGUCGGGGGUGCCGAGGAACACGAGGCGAUGCUUUCGCGCGCCGCCUCCCUCUUCGUCGGACGGCGACGGCGACGACGACGACGCGCGGGCGGAGACGUUUCGGACGCCGCCGACGCCGCGCGCGGACGAGGUCGUCGUCGUCGCGAUGACGCGGAGCGGGCGGCGAUGACGCGCGGCGUCCGAGGGACCCGGCGCGUGACCCGAUCGCGGGCUUCGGUGAAGAUGACGAUGAUGAUGAUGAUGAUGAUGAUGAGGGUGCCCCGUCGACGCGGCCGUCGCGGCGACGCACCGCGACGACGCCCACGCCCGGGUGGACAUCGCCUCGCGCACGAUGCCGCUUCCGCUCGUUCGAAACGCGCGCAGUCCAGCCUUCGCGGCCGCGAACGACGACAUCUCCGUGUCUGCGCCUCGGGAAGUGGCACCGACAGCUGUGUGAGAAACGAUGAAGCCCGUCUAUCGAUGUCGCGUCAGAUCCUCGGACGCGGAGUCGUUUCAGUGCACGGCGCGCGCGCCCCCCCGCGUCCACGAUGGCGGCCGCGGCGGCGGGACCGAUCGAGGACGAGUCCAAGUACUUCAAGGUGGACGUGUGCGUCGGCGACGCGCCGCUCCCGAUCGUGACCGCGGUCGACGGCGGCGAGUGGGUCGUCGCUCGCUUCGACGACCCGACGACGACGAUGAUGAAGACCGAGGAGCAGGAUCCGUACGGCGAGCGGUACACCCAGGAGUGGCCCGCGACGCCCUACGCGGUGCGCGUUUCGAACGAGUCCUACCCGGGCCCCGUGGAGGCGCAGGUGUUCGUGGACGGCAAGCUCGCGGGGAUCCAGGUCGUGUACAAAGCGAACGACGAGCGAGGGCCGCAGUACAAGAACGCGAUGUGGUUCAGGGGGUUCGCGUCGUCGCCGCAGGUGAUCAGCUACGGCAAGGACACGAUCACGCAGUUCCUGUUCACGCUCCCGAGGGCGGCAGCCGCGAGGGGGGGUGGGGACCAGGGCGCGCGGCCGAAGAUGUCCGCCGCGGACCGCGCGGCGUUGGAGUCCAUCAGAGUCGUGUUCCACGACGUGCAGUUCACCGGAGCGAGGAAAGAGGUCGCGGUCCCGGUGGCGGCGCGGCGCGGCGCGGUCGUCUCCGGCGUGAACAAAGCGUCCGCGAAGGACGCGAAAGCGUCCACGAGCACGGCGACGGGCGCGACGCUGCAGAACGCGCACGCGGGGGCGUACACCGGGAGCGUGUACGACCGCUUAGAAGUCAUCGCGGAGAGAACGAUUCGAUACGGGACGAAAUCGCAGUUGCAGCUACGGCGCGCGCUGCCGAGCGACGUCGAGGAGGCGACAGGAGAGCGCGCGAAGAAGACCGAGACCGAGGAGGGGGUCGGAGGAGGGGGAGGGGGAGGGGGCGGGGGCGCGGGCGUCGACGUCGUGGAGAUCGACGCGGCGCCGACGCGCGUCAAGCCGGAGCCGCGCGCGUUGCAUCCCGCGUGCGUCGCCGCCGCGCUCGCAGCGGGGAACGACGGGCCUAUCGAGCUCGAGUGACGAGAGGAGGGAGGAAGCGCGCGUAUGGGGGGGGGGGAGGGACGAGAUGCAAAAGACAGAGACGACGAGACGACGGACGACACGAUCGUGAUAGGCACGCGAGACGACGCGGACGCGACGACGCGACGACGCGACGGGAAUUUUUCGAUGAACAGAGAACGAUUCCGUUCCUUUCUUCGCGACCGCUGCUAACAAACUAUCGUCGCACUACGCGCGCUGUAGUGUACCGCCUUCUCAACCCCGCGCAUCACAUCGAACACAUCAAUCCGAGUCCUCCUCCUCGUCGUCCGACCCUCUCCGCUCGCGCUCACCCCCGUGCCUCAGCGCCCUGAAGUGCUGAUGCGGGUACCGCCUCCCACACGUCUCGCACGGGGUCCCGCCCACCCCGCUCCACGCGCCCUCGCCGGCUUCGCACGGGACGACCUCGUCGUCGUCGUCCGAGCCGUCGCCGUCGGCGCCGCGGCCUUUCGAAGGCUUCUCGCCCUCGUCGCUGCUGUCACCGUUUGCGCCCCCCGCGACGCCGCCCUUCGAAGGCGGUGGCGGCGCGAGGGGAUGCCCCGGCAGCGCGCCCGCGACGCGCGCGAGCCAUCGAAUCACCUUCUCCUCGUCGAACCCCUCGACGCCGCCGAAGUCGUUCAGCCCGCACGUCCACGCGCCGAGUUUCUUCCUCCUGAACGUGAUCACCGCGGGCAGCGUCGGCGCGCCGAUCGUCCGCAGCAUCGGGCUCGGGCAUAGGGCGUCGACGCGGACGAACCGCGUCUUCGGAUGCGCGGGCGCGAGCGCGUCGAGCACCUCGUCGAUCCUCGCGCACUCGUCCAUCCCUUCCAAGACGAAGUGGAACACGACGCGCGACGGCCCGCUCUUCACGAUCGUUGGGAUGUCGGCCUCCUUCGCGGCGUUAUACGAUGAGGCGCCCUCCCUCUGCCGCGUCGCGGCGUUCUUCGCCGCCGCGGCUUUCAUCUCCGCGAGCCGUCGUUCGUGAAUCUCUCGAAGGACCGGAUCCAUCGUGCUCGCCAUCCGCAGGUCGUCGUCGUCGUCGUCGUCGUCCGUGAGGAGAUCGUCGCUGUCCUCGUCCUCCUCGUCCUCGUCCUCCUCAUCCUCGUCCAGGUUCGCGCGCUCCAUGACCCCGCCCGCGGCGCGGACGGCCUCGAGCCGCGCGACCGGGUCGUGCGCUCGCAAGAUGCGCUUGAUCCGCGCCGCCUCCUUCUGCGCUUUCGCAUCCUUCUCGCAGCACGAGCCCGGCCUCGGGGCGUCCGCGUACUCCUCCCCGGCCGCGUCGAGGGCCUCGUCGACCCACGACGUGCACUUGCCGGUGUCGCACGCGUCGUCCGCGCACGCGGGAGGGGGAGGUUGACCCAUCGCGGCGGCGCGUCGGCGUGUGACGGCGAUCGAUGUUCUGUUUUCGUCGCGAGGAGUGCACACUGGUGCCGUCUGCUGUGCGACGUCCCGUCGGUUCGAAACUUCCAGAAGGACGCGGACGACGCCCAGAUCUGGGCGCGCGAGACACGCGAGCGCGAUGCCGAAGGGCGCUCGCGCCCACAACAGGCGCCGAAAUCCGCCGUCGUCGAAGACGGCGGCGGCGGAGAGCGCGGCGGUCUACGUCGACAAGGCGGCGGGUCUUCCACGUCCCGCGUCGAAGACGAACGACGACGAUCUAGUCGACGAUCUAGUCGACGAUGACGCUCCCGCGGCCGCUCCCGCGGCCGCUCCNNNNN